ACGUUACCAGCUUUGUGUUAGACGAAACGAAAAUGCUUUGGUUUUGCACCGUGUUUUGAGACUGUCAGGGUGACAUGAUGGAUUAAUUGCUGUUUGACUGACAAUAAAUGAACAUGUUUGUGUUUGGAGAUUGCUGAGGUUAAUAGCUUCACAAUUGGGAAAUCCCAACAUAAGCUGACUGCCAGUUUGACCACUGAUCUGCAUAAUAUCAGUGGGAGAGCAUGCUGAAUCCCGUAGCUUCUGCACCAUAUGUUUCCUGGCCGAGUGGUUGAAAGUUGCGACCACACAUUCCAUGGGUGAUGAUAUCUACCAAAAUUCUUGGCGGCACAGUUCUACCCUCGUCAGUUGCACUUGUCCGAGUCUUUCUCUGCCUCUCAACCAACUCGAGAUAUUCCCCCCCCCCCCCAACUGCAUCCCGGCACAGCUUCACAUCAACCCAUCUAAUUAAUUUGUCGGAAAGGUUGACUACACAAAUUUCCUGUUUGGUUGUGGAGAUAGAAUCAUUUUUUUUGUGAAAGUUUGAUUUCAGACACUUAAAAAUUGAAAUUGUCAUGUAUUAUUAGGCAUGGCAGGCAUUAGCAAAGCAUCUCAAUCAAGUAUUAAUUAUGUUACUUUGU